AGACUGUCGCGGGUCGGGAAAGCCGGUCGGGAAAGCCGGCGCGAGGAAAGUCGGGACAGCACAGAGCACCAUACUUCUUAACAGGAAGGUACACGCGAGUGUAACAGACAGUGCCACAGAAAAAUAUACCGCCCGCAAGGGUAAGGGUGAAAACGUGAGGUAAGGGCUCACGCGGCGGGUGGCGACAUUCCGCCGGGGCAAACCUUAUGGGCUGCAAGUCCAAGUAUAGAGGCAAUGAGGCUUUCGGGCCUUGAACGGGCUGCUCGUCCGUCGUCUCAGGGUAGGGCGCUUGAGCCUGCGGGCGACCGCAGGCCGAGAGAAAUGACGGUCGCCCCGCAAGGGGAACAGAAUCCCGCUUAUUCGCUU
rnacentral:RNase_P_RNA from 1 species